CCUACGGGAGGCAGCAGCGGGGAAUCUUGGGCAAUGGGGGAAACCCUGACCCAGCGACGCCGCGUGGGGGAAGAAGGCCUUCGGGUCGUAAAGCUCUGUCAGAGGGGAAGAAAUGCAGGUGGUGAACAACCAUUCUGUUUGACGGUACCCUCAAAGGAAGCACCGGCUAACUCCGUGCCAGCAGCCGCGGUAAUACGGAGGGUGCGAGCGUUGUUCGGAAUUAUUGGGCGUAAAGCGCGUGUAGGCGGUUUGUUAAGUCUGAGGUGAAAGCCCAGGGCUCAACCUGGGAAGUGCAUUGGAUACUGGCAGACUUGAGUACGGGAGAGGAGAGUGGAAUUCCCAGUGUAGGAGUAAAAUCCGUAGAUAUUGGGAGGAACACCGGUGGCGAAGGCGGCUCUCUGGACCGAUACUGACGCUGAGACGCGAAAGCGGGGGGAGCAAACAGGAUUAGAUCCCCUGGUAGU
rnacentral:rRNA from 1 species